rnacentral:misc_RNA from 1 species
GAAAUGCGAUAAGUAGUGUGAAUUGCAGAAUUCAGUGAAUCAUCGAAUCUUUGAACGCACAUUGCGCCCCUUGGUAUUCCAUGGGGCAUGCCUGUUUGAGUAUCAUUAAUUUCUCUAAGCGUGGUAGAAUUUUUAUUCGCUUCUGAGUUGGGCCUCACCCGCCGGAUAAACCGGGCCUCGCGCCCACUUUCUCAGGUUGACCUCGGAUCAGGUAGGGAUACCCGCUGAACUUAA